rnacentral:miRNA from 1 species
GCAGACACAUUCCAGCCAAUCAGCAGCAGACCCUCCCUCCUAGAUCCUCCCACCUCCUGGACAGCAUCCAUUUUACAUUCAUUGUGAAGCUGCAUUCUUAGUGAGCUGUCCAAGAGGUGGGAGGGUCUGGGAGGGAGGGUCUGCUGCUGAUUGGCUGGAAUGUGUCUG